rnacentral:pre_miRNA from 1 species
UCUUGUGGAUGAACAAAGAAAGGGGUUUCUUAAGAUGGAAUCUACUUCUAGUGAAGAUGCUAGGGGA